CAGCGGCCCCGGCUGGAACGACCCGCCGCCGCUCCGGUCCUCGUCCAGGAAGGUCGCCACGUCCACCGUGUCGAUGCUGCAGACGGUGACGCAGCCCAUCUACAACCCGGCGGAGAUGAUGCCGGCCGCGCCGGCCGGCCAGUACGGGAUGGCGGGCGGCGCGUACCCGCCAGCUGGCGGCGC